UCGUAAGCAAAGACAGGGAAGAGUACGAUGCCUAGCCAACUUCAAGAGAGGGAAAUCAUUAGCUGAAAGAUUUCCUAAGAGGCACAUCAGAAGGUCGCCCACGAGCUUCUUCUGCGAACGGAUGACAAAUCCUAUUAGUUGAAGACGGAUCAAAUCCGUUAUCCUUUUUUAAGAGCCAAUCAUCUUUCUUGAUUGGAAAAAAGGUGGUACCGCGAAGCAAACUCCAUUCGUCCUUUUA
rnacentral:ncRNA from 1 species